UACGUAGGGUGCGAGCGUUGUCUGGAAUUAUUGGGCGUAAAGAGCUCGUAGGCGGUGUGUCGCGUCGGUCGUGAAAACUUUCAGCUUAACUGGGUGCUUGCGGUCGAUACGGGCAUCACUGGAGUUCGGCAGGGGAGACUGGAAUUCCUGGUGUAGCGGUGAAAUGCGCAGAUAUCAGGAGGAACACCGGUGGCGAAGGCGGGUCUCUGGGCAACAACUGACGCUGAGGAGCGAAAGCGUGGGGAGCGAACAGG
rnacentral:rRNA from 1 species